rnacentral:rRNA from 1 species
GAAGCUGCGGCGUGCCUACACAUGCAAGUCGACGAAGCAUCCUUCCGAUGAAUGGACCAGCUUGACUGGGAAAGGAAUCAAUUGGGAUGACUGAGUGGCGGACGGGUGAGUAACGACGUGGGUAACCUGCCCCACUAGAGGGGGACGAACAGCUGGAAACGGCUGCUAAUACCGCAUAGCAGGAAGGAGACGCAUGUCUUUUUCUUCAAAGAUUUAUCGCUAUGGGAUGGACCCGCGUCUGAUUAGCUAGUUGGUAAGGUAACGGCCUACCAAGGCGACGAUCAGUAGCCGGCUUGAGAGAGUGGACGGCCACAUUGGGACUGAGACGCGGCCCAGACUCCUACGGGAGGCAGCAGUGGGGAAUAUUGCACAAUGGGGGAAACCCUGAUGCAGCGACGCCGCGUGAGUGAAGAAGUAUUUCGGUAUGUAAAGCUCUAUCAGCAGGGAAGAUAAUGACGGUACCUGACUAAGAAGCCCCGGCUAACUACGUG